rnacentral:rRNA from 1 species
AGAGUUUGAUCCUGGCUCAGAUUGAACGCUGGCGGCAUGCCUUACACAUGCAAGUCGAACGGCAGCACGGGAGCUUGCUCCUGGUGGCGAGUGGCGAACGGGUGAGUAAUACAUCGGAACGUACCCAGGAGUGGGGGAUAACGUAGCGAAAGUUACGCUAAUACCGCAUAUUCUGUGAGCAGGAAAGCGGGGGAUCGCAAGACCUCGCGCUCUUGGAGCGGCCGAUGUCGGAUUAGCUAGUUGGUGGGGUAAAAGCUCACCAAGGCGACGAUCCGUAGCAGGUCUGAGAGGAUGAUCUGCCACACUGGGACUGAGACACGGCCCAGACUCCUACGGGAGGCAGCAGUGGGGAAUUUUGGACAAUGGGGGCAACCCUGAUCCAGCCAUGCCGCGUGAGUGAAGAAGGCCUUCGGGUUGUAAAGCUCUUUCGGCGGGGAAGAAAUGGCAACGGUUAAUACCUGUUGUCNAUGACGGNACCCGCAUAAGAAGCACCGGCUAACUACGUGCCAGCAGCCGCGGUAAUACGUAGGGUGCGAGCGUUAAUCGGAAUUACUGGGCGUAAAGCGUGCGCAGGCGGUUUCCGUAAGACAGACNUGAAAUCCCCCGGCCUCAACCUGGGGACUGCNUUUGUGACUGCGANGCUANAGUACGGC